rnacentral:rRNA from 1 species
UACCAGCUCUCCGAGUGGUAGGGAUGAUUAUUGGGCUUAAAGCGUCCGUAGCCGGCUUAGCAAGUCUCCUGUUAAACUCAGCGACCUAAUCGUUGAAUCGCGGGAGAUACUACUAGGCUAGGAGGCGGGAGAGGUCGACGGUACUUCUGGGGUAGGGGUGAAAUCCUAUAAUCCCGGGAGGACCACUAGUGGCGAAGGCUGUCGACUAGAACGCGCUCGACGGUGAGGGACGAAAGCUGGGGGUAGCGAACCGGAUUAGAUACCCGGGUAGUCCCAGCUGUAAACGAUGCGGGCUAGGUGUUGGGAUGGCUACGGGCCAUUUCAGUGCCGCAGGGAAGCCAUUAAGCCCGCCGCCUGGGGAGUACGGCCGCAAGGCUGAAACUUAAAGGAAUUGGCGGGGGAGCACCACAAGGCGUGAAGCUUGCGGUUC